AUUGAACGCUGGCGGCAGGCCUAACACAUGCAAGUCGAACGAGAGGCGGACGGGUGAGUACUGUCUGGGAAACUGCCUGAUGGAGGGGGAUAACUACUGGUAACGGUGGCUAAUACCGCAUACCAUCAGAUGUACCCAGAUGGGAUGAGCUGGUUGGUGGGGUAACGGCUCACCAAGGCGACGAUCCCUAGCUGGUCUGAGAGGCUGACCAGACACACUGGAACUGAGACACGGCCCAGAUCCCUACGUGAGGCAGCAGUGGGGAAGAUUGGACAAUGGGCGCAAGCCUGAUGCAGCCAUGCCGCGGGUAUGAAGAAGGCCUUCGGGUUGUAAAGUACUUUCAGCGGGGAGGCGUUACCCGCAGAAGAAGCACCGGCUAACGCCGUGCCAGCAGCCGCGGUAAUAC
rnacentral:rRNA from 1 species